UGGGCUGACUGGCAUUUGGGUAACGAGAAAGAAUUGUAAUUUUACCACAUAAUAAAGUUUUAAGUACGUAUUAAUAAUGAUAAUAUGUAUAAAAGCUCUUGACCAAUUACGUGCCAGCAGUCGCGGUAAUACGUAGGAGACUGAGCAUUAUUCAUAUUAAAUAGGUUUAAAGGGUACCCAAACGGUCAAAAUACCUUAAAUAAUAAGGAGUACUUGACUAGAGUUAUAUGUGAGAAGACCGUACUUGAGGUGGAGAGAUUAUAUUCUGUGAUACCAAAAGGACUGAUAAAGGCGAAGGCUGUCUUUUAUGUAAUAACUGACGUUGGAGGACGAAGGCAUAGAGAACUAACAGGAUUUGACACCCUAGUAGUCUUUGCAGACAAUGAUGAAUGCCAUGAACUAGAAAGGAAAUCCUUUUUAGUUUUAUAAAUGAAAAUGAAAGCAUUUCACCUCAAGAGUAAUGUGGCAACGCAGGAACUGAAAUCACUAGACCGUUUCUGACACCAGUAGUGAAGUAUGUUAAAAAAAAAAA
rnacentral:rRNA from 1 species